UUAGAAUAUUAUUCUAGUUAGAGGAGCGCAACGAAGGUACAAGCAAGUUCAGUUGUAGACUGUGAUUGGUGUUCGACGAAACCUAUAACCUAGUAUAACCUGCUAUAUGCCAAUGCAAUGAGAACUUUGAUGUAUAUAUUUUAUACAAAGUUACUAGAUAGGCCAGACCAAAAGGCUGCGAAUUGCGAGUACUGACUGAUAUUGGCGUUGGCGUUGACGGGAUUCCGAUGUCCGUAGUCCUGAAAGAUAGACGUGAUUGCUGGCAUAGAGUAGAAAUGAUAUAAUCGGAACUCGGUUGCAACACACUCGGCGGUCGACGCGACGCGACGUGUUAAUCGCAAUUCGACGUGACCAGAGAAAGAUAAGUAAUUUGAGAUAGAAGAUUUUGUAAGAUGGGUUGUAUGAAGCGAGCAGUAUUUCGAGUGUGUCAUUUAUUUUAUUAUAAAUUUUAAACAGGAUUUCCAGCAAGGUCUGAUCCAAUAAAGGAUUCAUCGCGUGCUUGACUUUCGACUUUCGACUCGGGAAACCAAAGAGUCUGUUUCCUUAGAAAAAUUCGGAGGAAUUUGAGAAAUGCAUUUACAUCGAAAUGCAAGUCGUACAUCGAGAUUCGUCCAUUGCUUGCACGUUGCGGAUUGCUGGCCGGAAAGAAUUAACAAGAGCGCAGAGGAGAGGAGAAAGGAACUCGAUGAAACAUUUACAUUUUCAUUAGCAACCGGCAAACUCGUGGAAAAAAAUGUUUCAAAGCCCGGAAAAUCCUUGGAGAUUGAACCUCAGCCAUUGUUCUCCGAAAGACCAAUCGAAAUCCUGUGAAAUUCAUUAUGUUCUUUGUUACGAACAUAUAGAGAUAUCUCAGAAACGGUAUAAUUGUACACAAGCAUGCAAUGUUGACGGUUCACGGUUCACGGUUCACGGUAUACGACGACCAUACAAAAAUUUCAAUUAAUCUUAUAAUUUAGAGGAAGAAAUACGGUCGUAAUAAGUUGGACAAAUAGCAGGAGCUUUAGGAGCGGACAAUGGGAGCAGACAAUGCCUUUUACUAUAUUUUGGGAUUUUUGACUCACGAUAAUAACGUGUUUUCAAGUUGAGUCGUUGAAAAGCUGAAAUAUCACGCAUCAAGAAACGGAAACCAGUCACAAACAUGUUUGCGAUCGUGACUGCGCUCAACUUGUAUCGUAGCAAUCCAUUUACCGCGUUAAUUGAAAUCUCAUUAACCGGAAGCAAUUCGAGUUUGCCCAACGCGACGUCUUCGUUUAACGUCCGACCGUUCGCGUUCACGUUCGCGUUCACGUUCGCGUUCACGUUCGCGUUCACGUUCGCGUUUGGCUCGGCGUAAUUUACGUAAACCAGUUAAUCGAGUGCCACGAUUUCUCCUUCCUCUUUAUUUUCAGCUUUAUUUCGUGCUUUUAUAUUGUAUUACCUAACAAACGCCCCGUUUUCUAUGCUACUUUAGCUAAUGCUACCAACUCCGAUAUUCCAAAAAGAUACUUGUAUCGUAUAGGUACAGUAGGUAAUAGGUAAUAGGUAAUACGUACUUGGCUCGUUUCUUUAUUAUUUUUCAUUUCACAUUUCUUCGAUUUCAAUGAUUCGUAUCUUUAAGUAGAUUUUAGAAAGAAAAUUACGCCAAGUUUACGUACCUUCGUACUUGUGGCAGUAUCAGAUGAGACGUGCCUUUACACGCUUCUACGCACGUUCGACGCAAUCUUCGAAUUUUCUCACGGAGUUCUGGACAGUCUCGCGGUUGCCCGAUGUUUAUCAGCAAAUCGCGGAAUUGUGCCACUUGGCUAUUGAUAUCCUGUAUUUGC